CCUACGGGAGGCAGCAGUGAGGAAUAUUGGUCAAUGGUCGCGAGCCUGAACCAGCCAAGUAGCGUGAAGGAUGACUGCCCUACGGGUUGUAAACUUCUUUUAUAAAGGAAUAAAAUGAGGCACGUGUGCCUUUUUGUAUGUACUUUAUGAAUAAGGAUCGGCUAACUCCGUGCCAGCAGCCGCGGUAAUACGGAGGAUCCGAGCGUUGUCCGGAUUUAUUGGGUUUAAAGGGAGCGUAGAUGGGUUGUUAAGUCAGUUGUGAAAGUUUGCGGCUCAACCGUAAAAUUGCAAUUGAUACUGGCAGCCUUGAGUACAGUUGAGGUAAGCGGAAUGCGUGGUGUAGCGGUGAAAUGCUUAGAUAUCACGAAGAAACCCGAUUGCGAAGGCAGCUUACUAAACUGCCACUGACAUUGAUGCUCGAAAGUGUGGGUAUCAAACAGGAUUAGAUACCCUUGUAGUC
rnacentral:rRNA from 1 species